AGCUCCAAUAGCGUAUAUUAAAGUUGUUGCGGUUAAAAAGCUCGUAGUUGGAUUUCUGCCGAGGACGACCGGUCCGCCCUCUGGGUGAGUAUCUGGCUCGGCCUGGGCAUCUUCUUGGAGAACGUUACUGCACUUGACUGUGUGGUGCGGUAUCCAGGACUUUUACUUUGAGGAAAUUAGAGUGUUUCAAGCAGGCUUACGCCUUGAAUACAUUAGCAUGGAAUAAUAAGAUAGGACCUCGGUUCUAUUUUGUUGGUUUCUAGAGCUGAGGUAAUGAUUAAUAGGGAUAGUUGGGGGCAUUCGUAUUUAACUGUCAGAGGUGAAAUUCUUGGAUUUGUUAAAGACGAACUACUGCGAAAGCAUUUGCCAAGGAUGUUUUCAUUG
rnacentral:rRNA from 1 species